CGCGGCGCACCCACCGGAAGGGACCGGGUCUCAUACGCCCGUGCAUGGGGGUUCGACUCCCCCCGCCGCGUCCA
rnacentral:tRNA from 1 species